UUCGAGUUGCUUCAAAUUCAUUCGAUCUUGAUCUGGAUUUGCUUGCUUCCUCUUCCUCUUGCUUGCAGAAACCAACUGAGAUGAAAAGGGGAAUGAAUUUUUGGAGUUUAAACUUCCAAAUAGAAGAUGAAGUUCAAGCUCGACUUCAAAAGAAAUCUUCAAAAAUUCUAUUGAAUGGAGGGUCUGGAUAGGUAUGGAAAAGCUUGGGCAAGCU
rnacentral:lncRNA from 1 species